CGCAGCCGCGGUAAUACGUAGGGUGCGAGCGUUAAUCGGAAUUACUGGGCGUAAAGCGUGCGCAGGCGGUGAUGUAAGACAGAUGUGAAAUCCCCGGGCUCAACCUGGGAACUGCAUUAGUGACUGCAUCGCUGGAGUGCGGCAGAGGGGGAUGGAAUUCCGCGUGUAGCAGUGAAAUGCGUAGAUAUGCGGAGGAACACCGAUGGCGAAGGCAAUCCCCUGGGCCUGCACUGACGCUCAUGCACGAAAGCGUGGGGAGCAAACAGGAUUAGAUACCCGAGUAGUCCCUGUCUCUUAUACA
rnacentral:rRNA from 1 species